rnacentral:rRNA from 1 species
UGGGGAAUAUUGGACAAUGGGCGCAAGCCUGAUCCAGCAAUGCCGCGUGAGUGAUGAAGGCCUUAGGGUUGUAAAGCUCUUUCGCCCGCGACGAUGAUGACGGUAGCGGGAGAAGAAGCCCCGGCUAACUUCGUGCCAGCAGCCGCGGUAAUACGAAGGGGGCAAGCGUUGUUCGGAAUUACUGGGCGUAAAGGGCGCGCAGGCGGUUCUUCAAGUCAGAUGUGAAAGCCCCGGGCUCAACCUGGGAAUUGCAUUUGGGACUGGGGAACUAGAGUUCGGGAGAGGUGGGUGGAAUUCCCAGUGUAGAGGUGAAAUUCGUAGAUAUUGGGAAGAACACCGGUGGCGAAGGCGGCUCACUGGACCGAUACUGACGCUGAGGCGCGAAAGCGUGGGGAGCAAACAGGAUUAGAUACCCCCGUAGUCC